rnacentral:lncRNA from 13 species
CUGGCUCCAGGUCGUUCCUCAUUGUUGCCUGGCUGGUCACUGCCCCAGGCCCCGUCUGGUGCCUUUGAGGAGCUUCGUGCACAGGACAGGAGUUGCCCGCUGCCCCCGGGUGAGGCUUUACGCUGGGUCCUCUCCUCUGCUCCUGGCUGCCAGGACCCAGUGGCAACAGGACCCAGGGCGAAAUGUAAUGGCACCCCAAAGAAUAAGAGCCGGGCCCCAGUCGUCGCCGUGGUGACGGGAUGUUUUCUCUGGAACAGGCUGUGCUGGAGAGAAGGGCCUGGAAGCUUUUGGGCCCACCUUGCAGGGCCAGGGUCUGCCCUCCCACUUCAGAGCGGCUGCCUGCUCCCCGGCGGUCACGGGGCCGCAGGAGAAAGGCCAGGAAGACCCAGCUGUGCCAAGGCUUCAGGGCUCUGCCCACCAGGUGGCCAUGCCUGCAGUCAGCACCGUCCCCUCCCCACCGAGAACGGCAGGGCACUUGGGAGGUAUUUUUCCUCUCCAGCAGUGGCCUCUGCAGGAGGUGUCAGCAGGUGGGGGAGACAGGUCUUAGCCCCACUCUCCUCUCAGCACCCCCAGCAGCAACUUCCACCUGCUGACCCCACCCAGCUCACAGAGCUGCCCAGGUUUUGUCCAAGUGGGUGUUUGGGGUGGAGGGGCUUGUACCCGUUACCUCCCUCACCCCUCCAGGCUGGGACCAGAACCCUGUGGGCCUGGAUCUUGGAGACGGCACCGCCACCGACAUGCUCCCUGGGGGGGCCACAGCCCGGGGGCGGGGGGGUGCAGGAGGGACCCCUGCAGAUCUGCCCAGCUGAGUCUGGGGGUCCUGGGCUCGGAUGUUGGGGACAGUGGGGCCCACCUGGAGACUCACCCCAGCUGGUGCACCAGCAGUGGGAGGAGCUUUGGGCGGAGCGAGCGCCCCGUCUAGAAGGGUAUGCGAGUUGAGGCUGGGGUCCUGCAGGUGCAGGGGGAGAAGGUGGGGAGAUGCAGUGGCCUCAAAGGAUGUCCCAAGGCCCCAGGACCCUGGCGAAAGGAUGGAGGAGCUGGCCCUGGUGGGGCACGGGGAGAGGCGCGGGGAGGGGAGCGAGAUGGCCGGACUGUGGGCUGGACAUGCCGUCCGUGGACACGCUGGGCUGUGUGGUGGAGCCCCCCCCAGCCCUC